ensembl:lncRNA
GUUGUAUGAUUCCGAGAUCAUGAAUUAUAUUUAUCUUGUUUUAUUUGGUAGGUGGGAAAUCGAGCAAAAUAGAGUUACAUGUAUUUAUAUAUAUAUAUAUAUAUAAAUUUUGCACGCGACUGUCUCAGGAAUGUGACAUAGUGUGACACUUAUGUGCCAGCUCAAAGCCAGUUAUUUUGCGUAGAGAUGAUAGAGCAUGCACGAACUGAAGGAAAACAGCAAUAGGAAAUUAGGAAAAUAAGCACACGGGUCGCGGAGAAGUCUCGCGCCGCUGAAGGACUCCCACGUGACUGAGCUGAGCAGCUCGAGCUACAUCCGCCGCUCGCUUCCACAGACAGGACGGAGCGGAACCGAGCCGAGACUCGUCUGAAGACAUUUCUCUUCACCUGAAUAAUUCUUUCCAGCACAAGUCCCCAGCCUCUCACACCAUGGAGGGCUAUGGGCUGUCGGAAGAGGAGCUCUUCGCCUCGUCUCUGCACAACUUCACCUGGGAGACUGCGUUUGAGCAGAAAACACCCGAACACAGAGCUGUCACAUCAACGCAAGAAUUGGUGUCACACUAAAAGAAAGAUGGCCACCACGAACCACAACCUCUGACCUUCGACCUUCUCAGUCACCGUCUUACUGAUCACAUACACCUGCACUUAAUCAAGAACAUUGCAUUAAUACCCACACAAACCAGCAGUUCUCUGCAAAGUAUCCACUCGGUGUAUUCUUGCCUGACGUUACCCAGCUUUAUAUCCCGUGUGUUGUUAUUCUCUUUUUUUU